GGCUCGUUAGUUAAGUGGUAUAUAAUCCUAGCUUGUCACGCUAGAGUCAGGAGUUCGAUUCUCCUACGAGCCGCCA
rnacentral:tRNA from 1 species